AGGCCAUAUCAUAUGUAAACACCUGUUCCCGACCGAUCACCGAAGUUAAGAAACGUCGGGUCUGGUCAGUACCUGGAUGGGUGACCGCUUGAGGCUUCCAAGUGCUGU